AAAAAUUUAACAGGAUUUAGAUACCCUGGUAGUCCACGCCGUAAACGAUGUCGACUUGGAGGUUGUGCCCUUGAGGCGUGGCUUCCGGAGCUAACGCGUUAAGUCGACCGCCUGGGGAGUACGGCCGCAAGGUUAAAACUCAAAUGAAUUGACGGGGGCCCGCACAAGCGGUGGAGCAUGUGGUUUAAUUCGAUGCAACGCGAAGAACCUUACCUGGCCUUGACAUCCACGGAAUUCGGCAGAGAUGCCUUAGUGCCUUCGGGAACCGUGAGACAGGUGCUGCAUGGCUGUCGUCAGCUCGUGUUGUGAAAUGUUGGGUUAAGUCCCGCAACGAGCGCAACCCUUAUCCUUUGUUGCCAGCGAGUAAUGUCGGGAACUCAAAGGAGACUGCCGGUGACAAACCGGAGGAAGGUGGGGAUGACGUCAAGUCAUCAUGGCCCUUACGGCCAGGGCUACACACGUGCUACAAUGGCGCAUACAAAGAGAAGCGAACUCGCGAGAGCAAGCGGACCUCACAAAGUGCGUCGUAGUCCGGAUCGGAGUCUGCAACUCGACUCCGUGAAGUCGGAAUCGCUAGUAAUCGUAGAUCAGAAUGCUACGGUGAAUACGUUCCCGGGCCUUGUACACACCGCCCGUCCCUCCAUGGGAGUGGGUGCAAAAGAAGUAGGUAGCUAACCUCGGAGGGGCGCUACCACUUGUCAGGC
rnacentral:rRNA from 1 species